GACGAACGCUGGCGGCGUGCUUAACACAUGCAAGUCGAACGAAGUGGCGAACGGGUGAGUAAUACGUGGGUAACCUGCCCUCCUUUUUGGGAUAAGCCUUGGAAACGGGGUCUAAUACCGAAUAAAGGGGGAUGGGCUCGCGGCCUAUCAGCUUGUUGGUGGGGUGAUGGGCUACCAAGGCGGUGACGGGUAGCCGGCCUGAGAGGGUGACCGACAACGGUGGGACUGAGUAACGGCCCAUACUCGUACGGGAGGGAGCAGUGGGGGAUAUUGCACAAAGGGCGAAAGGCUGAUGCAGCGAGGCUGAGUGGGGGCUGAAGGCUUUCCGGUUGUAACCCUCUUUCGCUAUCGAAGGGGUAGGUUGAGAAGAAGCGCCGGCUAACUACGUGCCAGCAGCCGCGGUAAUUC
rnacentral:rRNA from 1 species